rnacentral:rRNA from 1 species
UACAGAGGUCUCGAGCGUUGUUCGGAUUCAUUGGGCGUAAAGGGCGCGUAGGCGGCGGGGUAAGUCUGGUGUGAAAUCUCGGAGCUCAACUCCGAAAUUGCACUGGAUACUGCUCUGCUAGAGGGCUGGAGAGGAGAUCGGAAUUCACGGUGUAGCAGUGAAAUGCGUAGAUAUCGUGAGGAAGACCAGUGGCGAAGGCGGAUCUCUGGACAGCUCCUGGACGCUGAGGCGCGAAGGCUAGGGGAGCAAACGGG